UAAUACGGAGGGGGCUAGCGUUGUUCGGAAUUACUGGGCGUAAAGCGCGCGUAGGCGGUUGUUCAAGUUGGGCGUGAAAGCCCGGGGCUUAACCCCGGAAAUGCGUUCAAAACUGGGCAGCUAGAGUCCGGAAGAGGAGAGUGGAAUUCCCAGUGUAGAGGUGAAAUUCGUAGAUAUUGGGAAGAACACCAGUGGCGAAGGCGGCUCUCUGGUCCGGUACUGACGCUAAGGUGCGAAAGCGUGGGGAGCAAACAGGAUUAGAUACCCUGGUAGUCCACGCCGUAAACGAUGAGUGCUAGAUGUUGGUGGGCAUGCCCAUCAGUGUCGCAGCUAACGCAUUAAGCACUCCGCCUGGGGAGUACGGUCGCAAGAUUA
rnacentral:rRNA from 1 species